GGUGGCGGCCUUCCACUAGGGGUGUCCACUGACCACCUGUGCCAGCACUCCGGCAUCUGCAUCAAUGCUGGCAACUCGCAUCACUGCCAGUGCCCCCUGGGCUACACUGGGAGCUACUGUGAGGAGCAGCUCGAUGAGUGCUCAUCCAACCCCUGCCAGCAUGGGGCCACCUGCAGGGACUUCAUUGGCGGGUACAGAUGUGAGUGUGUCCCAGGAUAUCAGGGCGUCAAUUGCGAGUAUGAAGUAGAUGAGUGUCAGAAUCAGCCAUGCCAGAACGGAGGCACCUGUGUCGACCUCGUGAACCAUUUCAAGUGCUCCUGUCCACCAGGCACUCGAGGCCUGCUUUGUGAAGAGAACAU